UACGGGGGGGGUAAGCGUUGUUCGGAAUUACUGGGCGUAAAGGGCUCGUAGGCGGCCAACUAAGUCAGACGUGAAAUCCCCUCGAGCUUAACUGGGGGACUGCGUCUGAUACUGGAUGGCUUGGAUUCGGGAGAGGAAUGCGGAAUUCCAGGUGUAGCGGUGAAAUGCGUAGAUAUCUGGAGGAACACCGGUGGCGAAGGCGGCAUCUGGACCGGAUAUACGCUGAGGCGCGAAAGCCAGGGGAGCAA
rnacentral:rRNA from 1 species